CUCGUAGGCGGCCCACUAAGUCGGACGUGAAAUCCCUCGGCUCAACCGGGGAACUGCGUCCGAUACUGGUGGGCUUGAGUUCGGGAGAGGGAUGCGGAAUUCCAGGUGUAGCGGUGAAAUGCGUAGAUAUCUGGAGGAACACCGGUGGCGAAGGCGGCAUCCUGGACCGACACUGACGCUGAGGAGCGAAAGCCAGGGGAGCAAACG
rnacentral:rRNA from 1 species